rnacentral:rRNA from 1 species
AUGUGCCCAUUAUGCGAGCAGGUGGCUGAGACUGCAGACCACCUGGCACUGGGCUGUGUGUUUGCCAGGGAGGUGUGGCACUCUGCCCUCGCACGGUGCGGCCUUGGCCAGUUGUUGCCCAGCAUGGAUGCAACUCUCAUAGAGUGGUGGAUAGCCAGUCGUGCGAUGAUCCCGAAGGAGCGGAGGAAGGGGUUUGAUUCGCUUGCCCUCCUCAUCGUCUGGUUGCUAUGGAGGGAGCGUAAUAGUCGUGUCUUCGAGCGGUCAGCGGCCGUUGCUAGAGAGCUUUAUCGUCGCAUCAGUGAUGAGGUUGAGCUAUGGAAACUUUCUGGUGCGAGGGGGUUGUCGGACUUCUGGAGGUAG